rnacentral:tRNA from 1 species
UCCCUGGUGGCUCAGAUGGUAAAGAAUCUGCCUGCAAUGCAGGAGACCUGGGUUCAAUCCUAGGUGGGGAA